rnacentral:rRNA from 1 species
UACGGAGGGGACUAGCGUUGUUCGGAAUUACUGGGCGUAAAGCGCACGUAGGCGGAUUUGUAAGUCAGGGGUGAAAUCCCGGGGCUCAACCUCGGAACUGCCUUUGAUACUGCAAAUCUCGAGUCCGGAAGAGGUGAGUGGAAUUCCUAGUGUAGAGGUGAAAUUCGUAGAUAUUAGGAAGAACACCAGUGGCGAAGGCGGCUCACUGGGCCACUACUGACGCUGAGAAGCGAAAAGCAUGGGGAGCGAACAGG